rnacentral:tRNA from 1 species
GUAAAUAUAGUUUAUUAAAAUACUAGUCUGUGACUCUAGAGACAGAGGAUAUCUUCUUCUUAUUUACC